rnacentral:piRNA from 1 species
UGCCCUUUGCCCUAUGUCCCUGCCCC